rnacentral:misc_RNA from 1 species
UCUUCGUAGGUGAACCUGCGGAGGGAUCAUUACAGAGUUCUCGCCCUCGCGGGUAGAUCUCCCACCCACUGUUAUCGUUACUGUGUUGCUUUGGCGGGCCGCCGGGCCCCGCUCGGCCGCCGGCUCCGGCUGGCGCGCGCCCGCCAGAGGCCCAGCAAACUCUGAGUGUUAGUGUCGUCUGAGUACUAUAUAAUAGUUAAAACUUUCAACAACGGAUCUCUUGGUUCUG